UACGUAGGGCGCAAGCGUUGUCCGGAAUUACUGGGCGUAAAGAGCUCGUAGGCGGUCAGUCGCGUCUGCUGUGAAAACUCGGGGCUUAACUCCGGGCCUGCAGUGGGUACGGGCUGACUAGAGUGCGGUAGGGGAGACUGGAAUUCCUGGUGUAGCGGUGAAAUGCGCAGAUAUCAGGAGGAACACCGGUGGCGAAGGCGGGUCUCUGGGCCGUAACUGACGCUGAGGAGCGAAAGCGUGGGGAGCGAACAGG
rnacentral:rRNA from 1 species